GCCGAGUUUGCCCCUUUCCCCUCCUCCCUGCCUCCUGCCUCCGGUGGCGGAUGGGCCGGUCCGGCUUCGGCUAGCUCUUCUCUGGAAACCCCUCAGAGGGCACCCUUGCCUUAGAGGACAACUCUCCAGGAGCUCUUGGGGCAGUCGGUGGGCAGCAUUUCACAGGCUGUUGGCCUCUGUGCAAGAUUUUACAACAUGGCAAACCAGAGCUAACUGGGUCUAACUGGGACUUAGGCAAGCAGGUUGGGGCAGAGGGAAUGAGAGGUGCUGACUCUCAUUUCUCUCCCCACAAUGCUCCUUCGUCAGCUGCCUCCUAUGACUUCCAGGUGGAUGUUGUGUGUAAACCUGCAGCAAGACUUCAGUGCUGGCUCCAACGUUCAAUAGCUCUGC